rnacentral:rRNA from 1 species
UACGUAGGGUGCAAGCGUUGUCCGGAUUUAUUGGGCGUAAAGAGCUCGUAGGCGGUCUGUCGCGUCGGAUGUGAAAACCCAGGGCUCAACCCUGGGCCUGCAUUCGAUACGGGCAGACUAGAGUGUGGCAGGGGAGACUGGAAUUCCUGGUGUAGCGGUGGAAUGCGCAGAUAUCAGGAGGAACACCGGUGGCGAAGGCGGGUCUCUGGGCCGUUACUGACGCUGAGGCGCGAAAGCGUGGGGAGCAAACAGG